UACGUAGGGUGCGAGCGUUGUCCGGAAUUAUUGGGCGUGAAGAGCUUGUAGGCGGUUUGUCGCGUCUGCUGUGAAAAUCCGGGGCUCAACCCCGGACUUGCAGUGGGUACGGGCAGACUAGAGUGUGGUAGGGGAGACUGGAAUUCCUGGUGUAGCGGUGAAAUGCGCAGAUAUCAGGAGGAACACCGAUGGCGAAGGCAGGUCUCUGGGACGGUACUGACGCUGAGACGCGAAAGCGUGGGGAGCGAACAGG
rnacentral:rRNA from 1 species